GAAUAGAUACCCUGGUAGUCCACGCCGUAAACGGUGGGUACUAGGUGUGGGUUUCCUUCCUUGGGAUCCGUGCCGUAGCUAACGCAUUAAGUACCCCGCCUGGGGAGUACGGCCGCAAGGCUAAAACUCAAAGGAAUUGACGGGGGGCCCGCACAAGCGGCGGAGCAUGUGGAUUAAUUCGAUGCAACGCGAAGAACCUUACCUGGGUUUGACAUGCACAGGACGACCGCAGAGAUGUGGUUUCCCUUGUGGCCUGUGUGCAGGUGGUGCAUGGCUGUCGUCAGCUCGUGUCGUGAGAUGUUGGGUUAAGUCCCGCAACGAGCGCAACCCUUGUCUCAUGUUGCCAGCACGUGAUGGUGGGGACUCGUGAGAGACUGCCGGGGUCAACUCGGAGGAAGGUGGGGAUGACGUCAAGUCAUCAUGCCCCUUAUGUCCAGGGCUUCACACAUGCUACAAUGGCCGGUACAAAGGGCUGCGAUGCCGUGAGGUGGAGCGAAUCCUUUCAAAGCCGGUCUCAGUUCGGAUCGGGGU
rnacentral:rRNA from 1 species